GAUGAAGAACGUAGCGAAAUGCGAUAAGUAAUGUGAAUUGCAGAAUUCAGUGAAUCAUCGAAUCUUUGAACGCACCUUGCGCUCCUUGGUAUUCCUUGGAGCAUGCCUGUUUGAGUAUCAUGAAAUCUUCAAAGUCAAACCUUUUGUUAAUUCAAUUGGUUCUGCUUUGGUAUUGGAGGAUUAUUGCAGCUUCACACCUGCUCCUCUUUGUGCAUUAGCUGGAUCUCAGUGUUAUGCUUGUUCCACUCAGCGUGAUAAGUUAUCUAUCGCUGAGGACACCCUGUUAAAAAGGGGUGGCCAAGGUAAAUGCAGAUGAACCGCUUCUAAUAGUCCAUUGACUUGGACAAUAUCUAAUUUAUGAUCUGAUCUCAAAUCAGGUAGGACUACCCGCUGAACUUAAGCAUAUCAAUAAGCGGAGGA
rnacentral:misc_RNA from 1 species